rnacentral:lncRNA from 1 species
UCCUAGGACUGUUUCUGGGUGCAGACCCAGCGUAGGUACCCAGCAGGGACUCAGUGAGCCGAGUGCCUCCACGUGGGUGCUCGGCUGGAGGUGGGGCGUCUGCUGCCGUCACCAGUGGAGGAACCACGCUUGGCACUCGUCCCAGCAGGUGGACAGAUAUGGGAGGCCGACUAGCGCGUGACCGUGUCUGUCUCCCCUUCUGAUCAGUGUGGCGUCAUCACUCUGUGAUCUGGUUGCCCAGGUAACCCGGACAGUAGCCCCGAUCUUCCUACAUCCCCACGGAGGAGCUAAGCUCACCUGUUCCUCUGUGGCAUUACCCCUAGCCCUGUUGGGGAUAGAGUGUUCCCUGGAAACACCUUUGUGUGUCCCCUUCUCUCGCUCUGCCCUUGGGUGUGGCCUUCCUAGAUGUCAGUCCACCUGCCGACAGCAGACAUCAUGAGGCUAGACUCAGCCCCUGAAACCUGACCCCUGGCCUCAUUUGAAUGGCUUCUCCUGGGUAGAAGGGGUCAGCACGUCCAGGCUCGCGCUCGCUCUCUUUCUGUGGACCCUUAAGGUCAGAGGAGCCGUCACAGCUACCCCCAAAGAAAAAGGCAUUUCUGUCUCUUGUGUGGUCAUUUCACGCAGCCCAGUUAGCCCAGUUCCCCUGGAGUGACCCCUGAGUGUCUUAGUCGCGAGCAACCUGGCAAUUGGCGUCCCUUGGUGGGCGAGAGGUCUGCGUGUUUAAGUCACCGGGAACCCAACAGAGAGAAUCCAGAGAAGGCCGGGCCGUCUGCUCCUGGAGAGCUGGAGGUGAGACGCACAGAAGCCUGUGCCCACUCCCCAGGGCAGCCUGGCCUGCUUCGGGGUUCAACUGGUUGGACAGAGACAGCGGCUCCAGGGUUGAACUGUGGGGCCCGCCCAGGCUGGCUCGGCAAGGGUUCCUGGUGCUCCACCCUGCCUGUCUGAGAACCAGACACUGAACAAAGGCUUUUUGAAGAGGCUGAGGUAUGACUGUGGGCUCAGGUCCUGAACCCCGCUGCCCACAUUUGAAUUCUGACACUGCCCUUUAAAGGCUGUGUGGUCUUGAGCAGGUGACCGAGCCUCUCUGCGCCUCAGCUCCCUCACUGGAGAAGUGGGGUGAGCUAUCGUCUUGCUGCCUUGCUGGGAGGGGGAUUUCCCAGACUCAUCUGCGGGAGCUCUGAGCUCAGGUGCUGGAGGUGCCUCUUGUCCACUGGCCAAGGCUCUCUGUUUCCUGUGUCCAGGGCUCGCAGUGUGCCCAGGGAACACAAGGCCACACGAGCUGCUCCCCUCGGGCACCAGACCUCGCCCUGCUCAUGGGCCUGAGUCCUCCCCUGGGCCAGGACAGGUGGGCCAGCCCCUGCUGUUGGCUGUGUGGAGGACACACACUGUUGGAAAGGUCACAGCCUGGGCUUCUCGGAAAGUGGCCUGGCUUGUGGCCCCCAGGGGACACUGCUCCUGACAGGGGGUGCUGUCCUUUGUGCCCCACCAGGCACCAGACAGGUCGGACCAGUUGGGAACCUGCAGGGAGCGGCCGUCCCAUGAGGAGGGGGAGGCAGACAGGCCUGUCCUCCGUACAGCCUUGUGACACAGG